AUAGUGACAAGGUUUCGCGAGCAGGACAAAGCUGCCGGUCUUUCGCUCCGUGCCCCCCCGCUGGCGGGUGCUAGAGUGAGACCUCAGCUGCUUGUCCGUAACAAAGCACAUUCUGGGACUAGGAGCAGGCUGCUGCGUCUGGGCGUCGGUCUGGUUGUGGUGGACUCCCAGUGUAACGCUUCGCGCUGCCGCAGGUGGCACGUCUGUCCGCAAAGCCUACAGACUACCAGAAUAGUGACGAAUCCCGAUCCCGUUUGGGAUCAGCCUCAGCUCGAGCCGACGCUUUCAGUUGUAUGGCAAAGCCGUUCUGUCUCCGUUCUGCAUCCGCCCGGCCGUAUGGGCGCUAUGGCGGGUGCAGUAAGGCAGGCGCUCGGCGCACGAUAGAACGUUCGGAACGACCAUCUCAUCCGAGAGGAUGUAAUGGAGCUUACAGGUAGAGAGCGGCAUAAUGGACGCUUUCCCGAAAGCGAUUACCUAUCGCGCAAGCUGAUAGCCGUGGCCAAAGUAAACGUAUUUUCAAAACAAAUGAGUGGGACCGUCUAUACGCCUCCAGCGCUUGUCCGUAGCGACAGAAGCGUGCCACCACGCUACCCAGGGCAGCGCCCGGAAAGCAUGUGGUGGAAAUAUGGGAACACGUGACCACUGUCAAGUCACAGCUGAGACGGGCGCACCGGUGCAGUAGAGAACGAAGAUGAAAAUUGCCAACGAAGCGUAAAUCCUGACGACAGUCUGCGCAUUCAAUGCGUCGACUAUAGCUAGAAGGAGCGGAAUCGGGACGUUUACGCUUCUAGCAAAUCCAUUGAAUGAUGUCAACAGAGCUCGAGGACCACUAAAGACCGGCAUGAUUAAAAGCGGGAACCAGACAGUGGAAAAAGAGAGCAGCCGCAGAUAACGCUCACAGAGUCUGGUAUUGAUGACAGUGGGAACGACCCAAAACUCAGUGAACACGCCCGAGUGAGAACACCCGUACCAUUUUAUUCUGAUAUAGAAGUAGAGCGAUUGUCGUCAACUCCCGCGGCACGACGGGGCGAAAUCGUCUUCCGUGUGCAUCUGGGUCACGACUCGUCUCAUCUUCUAUGAACCUACCGUGCAUCUUUUGCAUCACAAGUCGAUGCAUUAGCGAGGAAAAUGUUUCGGCUGAUACUAGCGUCGUCAAUCCCGAGGCGACAGCGUAAUGGGUGCCUGCCGUCCGCCGUUUCGGCCAAUAGCCUCAUCGAAACUGAAUAUAAAAGGC